UUUCACUUCUGUGCCACGCUCAUGGCUCUGACCUGCAAGGCAAUUCUCUAUCUGCAGCAAAAAGCUUUCUGUCUGGCUCUUUUUAUUGAUUUGGAAAGUUACAGUGGCACCCACACAGAGCCUGUCUCCAGGGGAUAUUUGAAGCCCCCAGAAGGUCUGAAGGUUCAAUAAAAGCAUUCCCCUGCAGGCUGGAUGAAAAGAAAUCACAUCCUAGUCUGUGACAGCAGAGGUGCAAGAGCCAUUCAUGGGAGAAAAAAUGGGAACUGUAGGAAGAAGCACAAGAAGAAGAAGCUGCAAGAAUUUGAAGAAAAAUCAAAUAUGGUGAAAAAUGCAUUUUUCAGCUGAAGGCACAGACUGAGUGAACAGUGUCACACCCUGAUCCUUCAAAGGUUGCGUAUGUGAUUUUUCACUUUAGACACAGCCCUGCUCUCUGCUAAUGGAAUUUUGGU
rnacentral:lncRNA from 1 species